CCUACGGGGGGCAGCAGUGGGGAAUAUUGGACAAUGGGCGAAAGCCUGAUCCAGCCAUGCCGCGUGUGUGAAGAAGGCCUUCGGGUUGUAAAGCACUUUCAGUGGGGAAGAAAGCCUUGGGGCUAAUACCCUCGAGGAAGGACAUCACCCACAGAAGAAGCACCGGCUAACUCCGUGCCAGCAGCCGCGGUAAUACGGAGGGUGCGAGCGUGAAUCGGAAUUACUGGGCGUAAAGCGCGCGUAGGCGGUCUGAUAAGCCGGUUGUGAAAGCCCCGGGCUCAACCUGGGAACGGCAUCCGGAACUGUCAGGCUAGAGUGCAGGAGAGGAAGGUAGAAUUCCCGGUGUAGCGGUGAAAUGCGUAGAGAUCGGGAGGAAUACCAGUGGCGAAGGCGGCCUUCUGGACUGACACUGACGCUGAGGUGCGAAAGCGUGGGUAGCAAACAGGAUUAGAUACCCGUGUAGUC
rnacentral:rRNA from 1 species